rnacentral:rRNA from 1 species
AUUCCAGCUCCAAUAGCGAAUACUAAUUCUGCUGCAGUUAAAAAGCUCGUAGUUGGAUUUCUGUUUUUCUUCCCUUUCCCUCUUCCCUUUUUUUCUUGUGUGCCUGCUGCGCGUCUGCCAUCCUUCUAGAAAACGUUCGUACCCUUCACUGGGCCGCGUUCGAGAUCUAGAUCUUUUACUUUGAAAAAAUUAGAGUGUUUAAAGCAGGCAGUUGCUAUGAAUACAUUAGCAUGGAAUAAUAAUCUAGGACUUCGGUUCUAUUUUGUUGGUUUCUAGUACUGAAGUAAUGAUUGAUAGGGAUAGUUGGGGGUGCUAGUAUUGAGCGGCCAGAGGUGAAAUUCUUGGAUUCGCUCAAGACUAACUUAUGCGAAAGCAUUCACCAAGGAUGUCUUCAUCA